rnacentral:rRNA from 1 species
AGAGUUUGAUCCUGGCUCAGGACGAACGCUGGCGGCACGCCUAACACAUGCAAGUCGAACGGACUUAAAAGAGCUUGCUUUUUUAAGUUAGUGGCGGACGGGUGAGUAACACGUGAGCAACCUGCCUCUGAGAGGGGGAUAGCUUCUGGAAACGGAUGGUAAUACCCCAUAAAAUAUAAAUAUCGCAUGAUAGAUAUAUCAAAGAAAUUCGCUCAGAGAUGGGCUCGCGUCUGAUUAGAUAGUUGGUGAGGUAACGGCUCACCAAGUCGACGAUCAGUAGCCGGACUGAGAGGUUGAACGGCCACAUUGGGACUGAGACACGGCCCAGACUCCUACGGGAGGCAGCAGUAGGGAAUUUUCGGCAAUGGGGGAAACCCUGACCGAGCAACGCCGCGUGAAGGAAGAAGUAAUUCGUUAUGUAAACUUCUGUCAUAGAGGAAGAACGGUGGAUAUAGGGAAUGAUAUCCAAGUGACGGUACUCUAUAAGAAAGCCACGGCUAACUACGUGCCAGCAGCCGCGGUAAUACGUAGGUGGCGAGCGUUAUCCGGAAUUAUUGGGCGUAAAGAGGGAGCAGGCGGCACUAAGGGUCUGUGGUGAAAGAUCGAAGCUUAACUUCGGUAAGCCAUGGAAACCGUAGAGCUAGAGUGUGUGAGAGGAUCGUGGAAUUCCAUGUGUAGCGGUGAAAUGCGUAGAUAUAUGGAGGAACACCAGUGGCGAAGGCGACGAUCUGGCGCAUAACUGACGCUCAGUCCCGAAAGCGUGGGGAGCAAAUAGGAUUAGAUACCCUAGUAGUCCACGCCGUAAACGAUGAGUACU